CUUGAGUAGUGGUGGCAUACACCUUUAAUCCCAGCACUUGGGAGGCAGAGGCAGGGCAUCUCUGUGAGUUUGAGGCUUGAGCCACCAAUGCCUGGCUAUUUUUUAGUUUUAUGGGGCCUCACAGCUAGUUUGUCUUGGAUCUUUGAAGAUACUUUGGACUUGGUUUUUUGAGCAACACUGUAACCUUUGAGAUGUUGGGGAGACUUAGAGAUGUACUAAAGAGAGUUUUGCAUGAAGAGAUGGGCAUGAGUGUCUG
rnacentral:lncRNA from 1 species